GAGGGGAUAGCUCAGUGGUAGAGUGCGUGCUUAGCAUGCACGAGGUCCUGGGUUCAAGUCCCAGUCCCUCCA
rnacentral:tRNA from 1 species